CACGUAGGGCGCAAGCGUUGUCCGGAAUUAUUGGGCGUAAAGAGCUCGUAGGCGGUCUGUUACGUCUGCUGUGAAAACCCGGGGCUUAACCCUGGGCUUGCAGUGGAUACGGGCAGACUAGAGGCAGGUAGGGGAGAAUGGAAUUCCCGGUGUAGCGGUGAAAUGCGCAGAUAUCGGGAGGAACACCCGUGGCGAAGGCGGCUCUCUGGGACGGUACUGACGCUGAGACGCGAAAGCGUGGGGAGCGAACAGG
rnacentral:rRNA from 1 species